rnacentral:rRNA from 1 species
CCUGGUUGAUUCUGCCAGUAGUCAUAUGCUUGUCUCAAAGAUUAAGCCAUGCAUGUCUAAGUAUAAGCACUCAUACUGUGAAACUGCGAAUGGCUCAUUAAAUCAGUUAUCGUUUAUUUGAUAGUACCUUUACCUGGAUAACCGUGGUAAUUCUAGAGCUAAUACAUGCUAAAAACCCCAACUUCGGGAGGGGUGUAUUUAUUAGAUAAAAAACCAAUGCCCUCUGGGCUCCUUGGUGAUUCAUAAUAACUUAACGAAUCGCAUGGCCUUGCGCCGGCGAUGGUUCAUUCAAAUUUCUGCCCUAUCAACUUUCGAUUGUAGGAUAGAGGCCUACAAUGGUCUUAACGGGUAACGGGGAAUUAGGGUUCGACUCCGGAGAGGGAGCCUGAGAAACGGCUACCACAUCCAAGGAAGGCAGCAGGCGCGCAAAUUACCCAAUGCUAAUUCAGCGAGGUAGUGACAAUAAAUACUGAUACGGGGCUCUUUCGGGUCUCGUAAUUGGAAUGAGUACAAUCUAAAUCCCUUAACGAGGAACAAUUGGAGGGCAAGUCUGGUGCCAGCAGCCGCGGUAAUUCCAGCUCCAAUAGCGUAUAUUAAAGUUGUUGCCGUUAAAAAGCUCGUAGUUGAACCUUGGACCUGGCUGAUCUGUCCUCCUAAUCGAGCAUUAGGAUUGUCACGGCGCCAGUACAGUACAAAGUGUUACAGCACCAAUAACAUGAAUACGAACUCGAGGAGAGUCCAUCUGAGAGUUAGCCUGCCUACGGCGAGGUAAUGGUCGUAGGCAUGUGACUUAAUGGAGGAACAUGGUGAAUUCUACUAGGUCCUGGGGACCGUCUGACUAUAUACCUUUAAGUAAUUUAUAGGGCCCUACCGGCGCUAGUCCGAAGGCCUUUAGCCGAAGACUAGCGUGACGGUCAUUAUACGUCCUUAGCAUCCCUACUAGUUACAGCCUCCCCUACUUAGCUUCGAAGGCCCUCCUUCGACGGCAU